rnacentral:rRNA from 1 species
UUAGUGGCGGACGGGUGAGUAACGCGUGGAAAACCUGCCGUAUACUGGGGGAUAACGCUUAGAAAUAGGUGCUAAUACCGCAUAAGCGCACAGCUUCGCAUGAAGCGGUGUGAAAAACUCUGGUGGUAUACGAUGGUUCCGCGUCUGACUAGCUAGUUGGUGGGGUAAUGGCCUACCAAGGCAACGAUCAGUAGCCGGCCUGAGAGGGUGAACGGCCACAUUGGGACUGAGACACGGCCCAAACUCCUACGGGAGGCAGCAG